rnacentral:rRNA from 1 species
CCCUUAGAUGUUCUGGGUCGCACGCGCGCGACACUGAUGCAUUCAACGAGUUUCUUCCUGGUCCGAGAGGAAUGGGUAACCUUUUGAAAGUGCAUCGUGAUAGGGAUAGACUAUUGCAAUUAUUGGUCUUCAACGAGGAAUUCCUAGUAGACGUAGUUCAUCAGACUGCAUCGAUUACGUCCCUGCCCUUUGUACACACCGCCCGUCGCUCCUACCGAUUGAAUGCUCAGGUGAGCCAUUCGGACCUUCAUCAUGCCGGUUUCCGGUUUUGAUGAGGGAAAGUCUUGCGAACCUUAUCAUUUAGAGGAAGGAGAAGUCGUAACA